GAGGGUAUAGCUCACGUUGUGGAGCACAUGCUUAGCAUGCACGAGGACCUGGGUUCAAGCCCCAGUACCUCCU
rnacentral:tRNA from 1 species